GACGAACGCUGGCGGCGUGCUUAACACAUGCCAGUCGAACGGAAAGGCCCUGCUUUUGUGGGGUGCUCGAGUGGCGAACGGGUGAGUAACACGUGAGUAACCUGCCCUUGACUUUGGGAUAACUUCAGGAAACUGGGGCUAAUACCGGAUAGGAGCUCCUGCUGCAUGGUGGGGGUUGGAAAGUUUCGGCGGUUGGGGAUGGACUCGCGGCUUAUCAGCUUGUUGGUGGGGUAGUGGCUUACCAAGGCUUUGACGGGUAGCCGGCCUGAGAGGGUGACCGGCCACAUGGGGACGGAGAGACGGCCCAACCUCCUACGGGGGGAAGGAGGGGGGAAUAUUGCAAAAGGGGCGGAAGCCUGAUGAGGCAACGCCGGGGGGGGGAUGAGGGCCUUGGGGUUGUAAACCGCUUUCGCCUGGGACGAAGCGGGAGUGGCGGGAAUGGGGAAAGAAGCACCGGACAACUACGU
rnacentral:rRNA from 1 species